ensembl:lncRNA
CCAAAGUCUAGAAAAAUCAUACCUCUCCGAAUUUUUCUCAUUACAUUCGGUUUCUGAUAUGUAAUUUUGGACUUCUUUAAGAUUGUUACAACAGUGAGAAAAGUCAAAAUAGAUUAACCUCCCAAAAUAGCAACAUUCCCAAGCCAAAGUCCAGAAAAAUCAUACCUCUCCGAAUUUACCACCCUGCAGUUCUGAAUCCGCCUCGUUAGAGGGGUCUCUGAGGUGCUGGAGAUGUUAAGCUUCCCGGGUUUCGGCACCAUAUGUCCCGCGCGCUCUCUGUAUUCCUCGCCAGCAAGAAACACACGCAGGACACUCGGAUCCUUCUGCAGACAAGCUUUAAUGCAUUAGACUGAACAGAGACUGAGCAGAGACUAAGCAGAGACUAAGCAGAGACUAAGCAGAGACUAAGCAGAGACUAAGCAGAGACAUUGAACUAAGAAAACCAUUCCUAUAUAAAGGCUGACCAGCCGCCUGGGACGUAUUACCCUAUGAAUGGCUCCAGCUCCUCAGGCCAAAAUGAGCCACGGGAUAGGCAGAGAUCAAAGGAAUGGAGAUUACCCAGCGCCUGUGAAGUAAUUCACACCUUGGUGUCUUUAGGCAGCAUUAUAAUGCAGGAACCGGCUUCCUACAAAACACAAAGUGCAGAACAACAUAGAGGAAACUAAUAUAGAGCAAAGUUACACUGUGGACAUUGGAGUUGUGAUUCUGUUUUCGCAUAUAUCUGAAAUGCUCUAUACUAAAAUCUUAAUGGGGACAUGCAGCUAAUCCCCUCUUCAUUGUUUGUAUCCUAAAGAAUGACUCUUAGCUCUGCACAUGCUCAAGAAUGAUCUUUGUAGCGAUGUCUUUAAAAUACAAAAUUAAAAAUAACUUCAAGGAGGCUCCAAUAGAGAGCCAAAAGUUUUCUUCUGGAUCUUUUUGUUUGUUUGAUUUUGUUUUGUUUUUGAGUCAGGGUUUCUCUGUGUAAUAGCCCAAGCUGUCCUGGAACUUGCUCUGUAGACCAGGCUGGCCUUGAACUCAUAGAGAUCCACCUGCCUCUGCCUCCCUAGUGCUGGUAUUAAAGGGGUGUGCCAUCACUUGCCUGCCUGCAUCUUUUAUUUUUUAAAUAUGAGAUAAGAUCUUGUUGUUCAGUCCAGGUUACCUGCAAACUCAAAAUCCUCCUGCAUCAGCCCUCCAUGUGCUGGGAUAUUAUGUAUGUGUCAUCACAUCUGACCUCUAAGACUUUUGCCCAAGGUUUAUACCAGGUGAGAACUAGCUUGAAAAAUAGGAACCACUCUAAACAUUUUAAUAAAAUAUUUUAGUCCUGUUUUUCUUGAUACAGCGUUUGGUCUUCUUUAUAACCCUGAUAGCCCUUAGAUUAUCAUUCCUUCUGCAGCCUAUUGAGUUCUGGGGUUGCAUCCCACCAUGACUUGCUUAGUUUAUUUUUUUUCACAUUUACUUAUUGGUUCAUCCAUUUGUGUGUGUGUGCACAGGUGUGCCACAGCGUAUAUUUAUGGAGGUCAGAGAGCAAUUUGUAGCAGUCAUUUCUCUACUUCUAUCAUGUAGAUUCUGGGAAUCGGACCAUCAGGCUUGGUGGCAGGUGUGUGUGUGUGUGUGUGUGUAUGUGUGUUGGUUUUUUGAGACAGGGUUUCUCUGUAGGUUUGGAGCCUGUCCUAGAAUUUGCUCUGUAGACCAGGCUGGCCUCAAACUCACAGAUAUCCACUUGCCUUUGUGAAAGGUUCAGGCUUUAAUGCUGAUCAACUCUACCUCUUUAAGAGACAGACCUCGCCCCCUGAAAGCAGUCAGGGCAUGCACAGGGAAGUGCCAUCACCACAUCCCACCACACAUCUACAGCUUGUGUGAGGACUCUGGGCAUGCGCAGUCUUCCCUUUAAAAGUUCCUUCCAACUUCCCUGCUUCGCGCUCUCUCUGCUUCGUCUUCUUCUCUCUACUCUACUCUUCUCCUCUUCUCUGUCUGCUAUUGCUUCUCUUCUCUUUCUCUAUGGUGACUGGCCAUGGCGGUCAGCCAGUAGCCAUGUUUCUCUUCUCUCUUAGUCUCCCUACUCUGCCGGGCCUGUAAUAAACUGGUUAAUAUGUCUCAUCUUGUGCCUCCUCCUCUUUUUCUUUAUAUCUAAUUUAAACAAAACAUAACACUUUGCCUCCCAAGUGCUGGGAUUAAAGGUAUGCACCACCACUACCUGACUGGUGGCUGGUGUUUACCCUCUGAACUAUCCUGCUGGCCCUUGGAUUAAUUUUAAAACAUCAAAACAAAAUUUUAAAAAUCCUAUGGGGAACACCUGGUGUGAUAGUGCAUUCCUUUAAUUCUAACACUCAGGAGGCAGAUAUCUGAGUUCAGCUACAUAGAAAAUAGAAAAAUGUAAAUAAAAUAAAUAGGUUGAGGUAUUUUAUUUAUUUAUUUAUUAUCCUCACGCUGUCUUAGGAUUUCUGUUACUGUGAAGAGACACCAUGACCACAGUGCCAUUCCCUUUGGGGGCCGCUUUCUUUCAAACCACCAUACCAUCAAAGCACUACUCAGGAUCACUUUACAAUUCAGUGCUGUUGUCAUUUAGAUAUGAAACGCCCACUUCCUCAAAAGGCUCUUAUAUGGAGGGUGGUGGUAGGAUUCAAGGGUUUGGAACUACUCAAUGGGCUCAUCUACUAGCAGAUUCAUAGUUUGAUGUAUUAUUGGGAAGUAAUGGAAAUUAAGGAGGUGGAAGCCAGUUAGAAUAAGCAUGUCAGUGGGAUGUAUGCCUCGAGGCUAUUUCCUCUCCAGCCUUCUCUGCUUCUAGCCACCAAGAAGUCAUCAAGUUUACUUUGCACAAUGCGCUGCAUCCCCGAAGGCCCAGAAACAAUGGAACCAAGUGACUGUGGACCGAAAAUUCUGACACCACGAGGUAAAAGCAGCCCUUCCUCAUUUAAAUUCUCUUCCAAGGUAUUUCCCACAGCAGCAAAAAGCCUAACACGUGUGCCCUUGAUGUCUGUCUCCCUCUAUAUGAUCCUGUUACCAUAAGCACUGGUUGUUCCCUGGAAGGGAAAGGAAAGGUGGAGUAGGUGUUUUUGGAGCCCAAGGCUGUGGUCAUUGAACAAAACCAGAACCAGUGGAUGCAUAAAGCCUUUGUCACAAAAAUUUCCAGUCAGGUCGGGCGUUGGUGGCCAUGCCUUUAAUCCCAGCACUCGGGAGGCAGAGGCAGGAGGAUCUCUGUGAGUUCGAGGCCAACCUGAGCUCCAGAGAGAGUGCCAGGAUAGGCUGCAAAGCUACACAGAGAAACCCUGUCUCGAAAAACCAAAAAAAAAAAAAAAAAAAAAAAAUUUCCAGUCAGGGAUGCAUAGUGAGACCCUGCCCUCAGAACUGAACAAAAACUAUCAAGUUAUUGGUUGGAGAUGGCCCGGUGGUUAAGAAUGGGUAUCGUUCUGUUAGACCCUCGAAAACUCAAGUAUCCGGGGUCUCAGGCCAGGUUCGCGGUCACCCCAAUCACCAGGCGGAUUCGAGAGCUUGCUGCAAACUGCACGAGGCUUUAUUGUAAUUUAACGAACUAACCCCAUGUUAGCUCGGGUCUUUCACCCACCCGCCAUGGCAGACGGCUAGAAAAGACGGCUCCUAAGGUCUCCCCAAAGAUCUUAUAGGGCAGCGUAAGGGGAGUGUCUAGGGGUACGCACAGGCUCAGGAUUGGUGUGCUUCCAGGCUUGGAGGGCUUGCCCUGUGUUGAUUGGUCAACUGGUUGUUAUGGCUCAUAGGCCCUCCCAGGGUGGUUGCUAUGCUCUCUACGUCAUUGCUGUGCGCUUGUCCGUAAAGCACACCCAGAGCCAUAAAGCAUAGCACCACCAGCUAACUUCUGAUUGGUUCCUUGUCACAAGACAGGCAUCUGACUUUCUGGUUUCUAGGACAAGGUCAUAGAAGCACAUGUUCAACCAUUAUGGCUGCCAAAAGGGAAGCCGGUUCCUUCAUUCCCCCAUUUUCUUUUCUGGAAAUUCCAAUCAUGGAAUUGCUGUCUCUCUAGCAUCCCCAUCAGGGAGUGAUAGAUAUUGGCAUCCCCAUGUAAGGGAGUUCCUUUUGACUUAGCAUUUUAACCAGGGAAAAUGGACGCCGAAAUUCUUUUCUAAACUGCUUCCUGCUGACUUUGGGACGAAGUUAGGGACCCCAGAAGGUUGAAAUGCUAGUCAAAAGCAAAAAGGGAUUUAGGCAAUGGGGAAUUCAUCAGGGGCUUCUGGGUAGCAGACACUGUUGCAGAGACAGGGGGUGUCCAUAUCAGCUGAACUGGUUCACAUCCACAGCAAGUCCAGGGCUCGCAGUCUUAGAACAGUCUGUAGUCAGCAACUGAUAUUCAGAUGUCUGCCAGAAGCAGAAACCUGUUUAAGACAUGUUUAAACUAGGAACAGAGGUUAAAGCUUAUUUACUGAAGCCCACAGUGUAGAAAAGGCAGAUAUCUGUUUAAACAGCAAGAACAUAUUUAUAACUUUGAGUCCUAGCAAAAACUGCAGAUUUGGGCUAUAAGCAUGUACUUAGAUGACAACCAAAAUAAACUUAAAAACCUUGAACUCGUGCCUGAACAGUAGAUAGUUACUAUUUUAUCAGCUAACAUACUGACUAGUCUAUAGUGGAUCUGACUGACUGAUGCUGUCAAGCUGACAACCAGUAAUAUUUCAGAGAUCUGAGAAGGGUAUACUUUAUCCGAAUCUACUAAAAAGUGACAGAAGCCAGUCUAUAUACAGUUAGCCAAACCCAAGUUUCUCCAUUACUGUUGGAGGCAGCUGUCUCAAAGAACAGCAAUCUUCGCCAGGCCUAUACUGUGAGAGUUUUUUCCUCUCUGUGGAAGAGGGACAUGGAAAAGACUGACCUUGUUUUGUCUAGGCAAAGGGGUGCAAUCAAUUUUCCAGUGUCCAGCAGCUUUGUCCACAGUCUCGGCUAGGUUCUGGCAGGCGGCAGGUAUCACAUCUGAGCAUCUCGCUCACUGGUCCAGGUGCAGGAACUGAGGUGCCUCGUAAUCUUCUUUGGAGACUUUGGGUCACUGUCCGGAUCUGGCAGUCUGUCUGACAUUAUAAACUUUAAAGAUAACAAUUUAAAUGCCAUAUUCUGAAGAUCUCUGAAGCAUUAGAGGUCUGUUUGUCUGUUUUAGUUACUUGCCUUAAGCACACAUUAAGCAUACAGGUGGCUAGGUAAGGUCUUAUUUCUGUAAAUGAUUUAGUCUGACUGUAACUGGUUUUAACUUAGUAAAAUGUUUGAAACAGCACAGCUGAACUUAAAACUGCAUAGAGCUACCUUAUAUUCCUUAAACAGUAGCUUAACUUCUUUCUGAGGCAGGGUUUUUCUGUGACUUUGGAGCCUGUUCUGGAAUUCGAUCUGCCGGACCAGGCAGGCCUUGAACUCAUAAAGAUCCAUCUGCCUCUUCCUCCCGAAUGGUGGGAUUAAAGGCGUGUGCCAUCUACACCCUGAGCUUAAAGGUGUGUGUCACCAACAUUCUAAACUUAACUUCUGAAAACACAAACUGUACCGUCUUAUAUAGAUCAGCAUCUUUUAUAAAACAAGAACUUUACACUGUCAGGCUUUGCUUAAAAAUAAUUCUAAAUUGAAGCUCUUUAAGUACAAACAUUAAUAAAAAUAAACAUUUGAAAACUGGUUUUAAAAAGAAAUUUAAAUUCCCUUAAGGUCUUUCUGUAAUAUAUAGAAGCAUUAACAUUUUAAAUCUUAACUGAAAAACUUGUUUUUAAGAUGGUACCUCUAAUUUUCAUGCGGUCAUCUUUAGUCAAGAUGGCGGUUUAAGUAUUUUUUUUUUAACUUUAGCAAAAUGGCGACUAGUCAAGUCAUGUGACCAGUUGGCCAUGUGCUGGCUAAACCAGGAAACAGAACAUUUUAAAACAAAUAUAUAUAAAUUACUUGAGAAAUAAACAGGACUUUUUAAAACAGAAUUAGCUUAAUAUGGUUAAAAUUUUAACUUAUAUUACCAUUUUUAAAAUUUAUUAUUUGUAGACAUGAGAAACCAUAGCACAGUUUACAUUUUUUUUUUGGCUAGUAACAACCUUUUCUCUGACCUUUAAUAACUUUCCUCUGACCUUUUAUAACUUACUUUAACCCUCUAUAACUUUCUGUAACAAUCUUUUUCUCUGACCUCCAACAACUUGCUUUAACCCUCUAUAACUUUUACCAUUUGUUUUAACUCUCUUUAACCUUUUAUUUUAUUUCUCUGACUUUCUUAGACAUUCUUAGACAAUUUUUUUUUCUCUAUUAUUUAAGCCUUCUACAUUUUUUUCUCAUUUGUGCUGCUGGUAAACCCAGACCCUUGGCCAAUCCAGGGGUGGGAAAGACUCCUGCGGCCCCCCUGCAUACCAUGUGUGUAGAGCACAAAGAAUGCCGGGCAGCUAGGCAAAUGGCAGGGACCCACGGGACCGGCAAGUGGGGAUAGGGAAAGACUCACCUACAUGGGCCAGGCUCAGCUGUAAGGGCUGCAGCAGUGGUUCGAGUUCAGAAAAGCAGCAUCGGGGGACUCCAACAUAACACAUUCUAACCCGUGACACAUGGCAGAACUCCUUUCCCGUGCCAUGUGCUUAGGGCAACAAGAAAAGACCCCUGACCCAUGCAUGCCACGUGCAUGGGCAAUGUGGGACAGAAAGAGAUGCUUAAGAAACACAUAACACAAA